AUAGUACCACAACGGGUCAGUGCAUCUGGCUGUUAACCAGAAGGUUGGUGGUUCAAGCUGACCCAGGAGUG